CAGUGUGACUCGUCACACUAUCAUUAACUGAAUCCAUAGGUUAAUGAGGCGAACCGGGGGAACUGAAACAUCUAAGUACCCCGAGGAAAAGAAAUCAACCGAGAUUCCCCCAGUAGCGGCGAGCGAACGGGGAGGAGCCCAGAGCCUGAAUCAGCAUGUGUGUUAGUGGAAGCGUCUGGAAAGGCGCGCGAUACAGGGUGACAGCCCCGUACACAAAAGCGCAUGUGCUGUGAGCUCGAUGAGUAGGGCGGGACACGUGGUAUCCUGUCUGAAUAUGGGGGGACCAUCCUCCAAGGCUAAAUACUCCUGACUGACCGAUAGUGAACCAGUACCGUGAGGGAAAGGCGAAAAGAACCCCGGCGAGGGGAGUGAAAAAGAACCUGAAACCGUGUACGUACAAGCAGUGGGAGCACCCUUUGGGUGUGACUGCGUACCUUUUGUAUAAUGGGUCAGCGACUUAUAUUCUGUAGCAAGGUUAACCGAAUAGGGGAGCCGGAGGGAAACCGAGUCUUAACCGGGCGUUAAGUUGCAGGGUAUAGACCCGAAACCCGGUGAUCUAGCCAUGGGCAGGUUGAAGGUUGGGUAACACUAACUGGAGGACCGAACCGACUAAUGUUGAAAAAUUAGCGGAUGACCUGUGGCUGGGGGUGAAAGGCCAAUCAAACCGGGAGAUAGCUGGUUCUCCCCGAAAGCUAUUUAGGUAGCGCCUCGUGAAUUCAUCUCCGGGGGUAGAGCACUGUUUCGGCUAGGGGGCCAUCCCGGCUUACCAACCCGAUGCAAACUGCGAAUACCGGAGAAUGUUAUCACGGGAGACACACGGCGGGUGCUAACGUCCGUCGUGAAGAGGGAAACAACCCAGACCGCCAGCUAAGGUCCCAAAGUCAUGGUUAAGUGGGAAACGAUGUGGGAAGGCCCAGACAGCCAGGAUGUUGGCUUAGAAGCAGCCAUCAUUUAAAGAAAGCGUAAUAGCUCACUGGUCGAGUCGGCCUGCGCGGAAGAUGUAACGGGGCUAAACCAUGCACCGAAGCUGCGGCAGCGACACUGUGUGUUGUUGGGUAGGGGA
rnacentral:rRNA from 1 species